rnacentral:rRNA from 1 species
GAGUUUGAUCCUGGCUCAGGGUGAACGCUGGCGGCGUGCCUAACACAUGCAAGUCGAGCGACGAACUAGGAGGGUUUUAUUUUCGGAUAGAACUUUCCUGGGGAAAGCGGCGAACGGGUGAGUAACACUUGAGUAACCUCCCCCCCGGACUGGAAUAAUUCGUUGAAAGACGGACUAAUGUCAGAUGCUCUUUUUCGGUGGUCUCACUGAAAAAGGAAAGGACUGUGAAUAACGGUCUACCGAGGGAUGGGCUCGAGUCCUAUCAGCUAGUUGGUGAGGUAAUGGCUUACCAAGGCUAAGACGGGUAGCUGGUCUGAGAGGACGGCUAGCCACACGGGGAUUGAGAGACGGCCCCGACUCCUACGGGAGGCAGCAGUGGGGAAUAUUGGACAAUGCCCGAAAGGGUGAUCCAGCGACGCCGCGUGGGUGAUGAAGGCCUUCGGGUCUUAAAACCCUGUCAAGCGGGAAGAAUAUAUGACGGUACCGCUAAAGGAAGCCCCGGCUAACUCCGUGCCAGCAGCCGCGGUAAUACGGAGGGGGCAAGCGUUACCCGGAUUUACUGGGUGUAAAGGGUCCGCAGGCGGUUAAGCAAGUCAGUUUUUAAAUACUCUGGCUCAACCAGAGAAUUGGAACAGAUACUGCUUAACUAUGAGUCUAGAGGGGGAAAACGGAACUGCCGGUGUAGCGGUGAAAUGCGUAGAUAUCGGCAGGAACACCUGUGGCGAAAGCGGUUUUCUACUCUGGUACUGACGCUCAUGGACGAAAGCGUGGGGAGCGAUCGGGAUUAGAUACCCCGGUAGUCCACGCCGUAAACGAUGGGUGCUGGGUGUCGGUCCGGUAAACGGAUCGGUGCCGAAGUUAACA